rnacentral:rRNA from 1 species
UUUGGAAUCUGGCAGUGAUUCACUGUCCGAGUUGUAAAUUGAAGAGAGUGUCAWCCAUGCUGGACCAUGUCUAAAUUGUAAUGAUCCACAGUCCUUUGAUGGAGUAUCAGAGAGGGUAAUAAUCCCGUCUUUGGCAUGGAUCUUCCCAGUGUUUCUGUGAUGCACUCUCUCAGAGUCGAGUAGUUUGGGAAUGCUGCUCUAAUGGGAGGUAGACUCCUUCUAAAGCUAAAUAUUGGCGAGAGACCGAUAGCGAACAAGUACCGUGAGGGAAAGAUGAAAAGAACUCUGAAAAGAGAGUCAAAUAGAACGUGAAAUUGCUGAAAGGGAAGCGUUUAGAGUCAGACGCAUCUUCAUGGGAUACCCACUCAAGUUAGGCAGAGACUGAGAGGAGUAACUUGAAGAUGGGCCAGUCCUCACAAAAGGCCAUUGAAGAAGGGGUCAUGAAAUGUAGCUCAGUUCUGAGUGAUUAUAGUCAUGAUUCAGAAGCAAUGUGUGUCUGUGAGUUGAACAGCACGAGUGCACCGACUCUGUGCUUUGAUUUUGACUGGCAUAAUGGCUCUWAGCGACCCGUCUUGAAACACGGACCAAGGAGUCUAACAUGUAUGCGAGUAUUAGAGUGAUUGAAACUCUGAAUGCGCAAUGAAAGUGCUUUGACUGAGAAUCUCUUUAAGGGGGAGAGAGGCAUCAGUACCCCGAGUCUGUUAGUCUUUGACUGAGGAUUUGGAGGCAGAGCAUACAUGUUGGGACCCGAAAGAUGGUGAACUAUGCCUGAAUAGGGUGAAGUCAGAGGAAACUCCUWAUGGAGGCCCGUAGCGAUUCUGACGUGCAAAUCGAUCGUAGAAUUUGGGUAUAGGGGGCGAAAGACUAAUCGAACCAUCUAGUA